rnacentral:rRNA from 1 species
UACAGAGUUCUCAAGCGUUGUUCGGAUUCAUUGGGCGUAAAGGGUGUGUAGGUGGCGCCGUAAGUCGGGUGUGAAAUUUCGGAGCUUAACUCCGAAACUGCAUUCGAUACUGCCGUGCUUGAGGACUGGAGAGGAGACUGGAAUUUACGGUGUAGCGGUGAAAUGCGUAGAUAUCGUAAGGAAGACCAGUGGCGAAGGCGGGUCUCUGGACAGUUCCUGACGCUGAGGCACGAAGGCCAGGGGAGCAAACGGG